rnacentral:rRNA from 1 species
UACGGAGGGGGCAAGCGUUGUCCGGACUUACUGGGCGUAAAGGGCGCGUAGGCGGCCCUCUAAGUCGAACGUGAAAUCCCCGGGCUCAACCCGGGAACUGCGUCCGAUACUGGAGGGCUCGAAUCCGGGAGAGGGAUGCGGAAUUCCAGGUGUAGCGGUGAAAUGCGUAGAUAUCUGGAGGAACACCGGUGGCGAAGGCGGGUCUCUGGGCCGAUACUGACGCUGAGGAGCGAAAGCGUGGGGAGCGAACAGG